rnacentral:lncRNA from 1 species
GUGGCCAACCUACUUGAGAGUGGAAAAGGCUUGGAGAUAACAUAAGAUGAAGGUGUGAGCUGUACCAAGUGUGUUAUAUGGAAGGGGGGAAUUCCUGUACUUCAUGUUAUUGUUUCUUCUUCUCUACCCACUACCUAUGGGAGCAAAUAUUGAAAAGAAGAUGGACCAUGUUUUGGGACCGGAUAGGGUGAAAGUGAAUUGGCCUAUGGAUGGAGUUUUUGGACUGCGUGUGCAAGGUCCAUUGAUUAAGUUGUAAUUGAAUAUGGAGCGAGGAGUCGAAUUGGACCAGUACUAUUGUUGUGCAUCUAAUUGAUCAAAAGAAAACAAUGGAUGUUUGUGAUCAUGAAAUCUCAUCAAAUAUAUUUUAAGUACUAAAUAUGUU